rnacentral:rRNA from 1 species
UACGUAGGGUGCGAGCGUUUAAUCGGAAUUACUGGGCGUAAAGCGUGCGCAGGCGGUUUUGUAAGCCAGAUGUGAAAUCCCCGGGCUCAACCUGGGAAUGGCAUUUGGGACUGCAAGGCUGGAGUGCGGCAGAGGAGACUGGAAUUCCUGGUGUAGCAGUGAAAUGCGUAGAUAUCAGGAGGAAUACCGAUGGCGAAGGCAGGUCUCUGGGCUGACACUGACGCUCAUGCACGAAAGCGUGGGGAGCAA